rnacentral:rRNA from 1 species
GUCGGUGCCCAUAGAGAGAUAGUUACACCUGUUCCCAUACCGAACACAGAAGUUAAGCAUCUCAUCGGUUAAAAUACUUGGGGUUCACCCCUGGGAAAAUAGCACGGUGCCGUUU